CUUCAGAUGAUGAUCCCAAGCCUUCUGGCGUUCUGUUCAUCAAAUUUCAAAAGCGUUUAAGAAACAGGUAAAAAGCGUUUAAGAAACGUUCGAGUGCAUUUAAGAAACAUAUAAAGAAGGUGGUUAAGAAACAGGUAAAAGGUGUUUAAGAAACAUAUCUGUUUCUUAAACAUAUCUUUUUGUUUUCUUUUGUUUGUCCCGAGGAAGGUUUUUACCGAUUUACUCCUGAGGGCUUGUAGCUCAGUUGGUUAGAGCGCGCGCUUGAUAAGCGUGAGGUCGGAGGUUCAAGUCCUCCCAGGCCCACCAAUUUAUGAUUGCUGAUAAGUUUGCUGAUAAGUUUUUUGCGAAUGUUUUGAUGGUCUUUUAUCUUACGAUCUUUCACUUUUAUGUUGCAAUCUUUCAAAAGUAUUUGAACUGUUUUAGGGGCCGUAGCUCAGCUGGGAGAGCACCUUCUUUGCAAGCAGGGGGUCGUCGGUUC
rnacentral:misc_RNA from 1 species